UACGUAGGGUGCGAGCGUUAAUCGGAAUUACUGGGCGUAAAGGGCUCGUAGGUGGCCAAUUAAGUCAGACGUGAAAUCCCCAGGCUUAACCUGGGAACUGCGUCUGAUACUGGUUGGCUUGAAUCCGGGAGAGGGAUGUGGAAUUCCAGGUGUAGCGGUGAAAUGCGUAGAUAUCUGGAGGAACACCGGUGGCGAAGGCGGCAUCCUGGACCGGUAUUGACGCUGAGGCGCGAAAGCCAGGGGAGCAAACGGG
rnacentral:rRNA from 1 species